rnacentral:rRNA from 1 species
ACUCAAAGGAAUAGACGGGGGCCCGCACAAGCGGUGGAGCAUGUGGUUUAAUUCGAUGCUACGCGAAGAACCUUAUCCUGGGCUUGACAUCCCGCGCUACCCGAUGAAAGUCGGGGUUCCCUUCGGGGACGCGGUGACAGGUGCUGCAUGGCUGUCGUCAGCUCGUGUCGUGAGAUGUUGGGUUAAGUCCCGCAACGAGCGCAACCCUCGUCGUUAGUUGCCAUCAUUAAGUUGGGCACUCUAACGAGACCGCUUGGCUAUAAGCCAGAGGAAGGUGGGGAUGACGUCAAGUCCUCAUGGCCUUUAUGUCCAGGGCUACACACGUGCUACAAUGGGGGAUACAAAUCGCUGCAAGCUCGCGAGAGCAAGCUAAUCGCAAAAAGUCCCUCUCAGUUCGGAUUGGAGUCUGCAACUCGACUCCAUGAAGCUGGAAUCGCUAGUAAUCGCGGAUCAGAACGCCGCGGUGAAUACGUUCCCGGGCCUUGCACACACCGCCCGU